AAAGGUAAGCUACUAAGAGCAAAUGGUGGAUGCCUUGGCUAGUAGAGGCGAUGAAAGACGUGCCAGGCUGCGAUAAGUCUCGGGGAGCCGUCAAGGGGCUUUGAUCCGGGAAUUUCUGAAUGGGGCAACCCAGUAUAUAGUGAUAUAUACUACCGCAAUGCGGAGCUAACGUUGGGAAUUGAAACAUCUUAGUACCAACAGGAAAAGAAAUCAAAAGAGCUUACGCUAGUAGCGGCGAGCGAACGCGUAAGAGGGCAAACAGUAGUUUACUAACGGGGU
rnacentral:rRNA from 1 species